UACGAAGGGGGGCUAGCGUUGUUCGGAAUUACUGGGCGUAAAGGGCGCGUAGGCGGUGUGUCAAGUCAGGCGUGAAAGCCCCGGGCUCAACCUGGGAACCGCGCUUGAGACUGGCACGCUCGAGUUCGGGAGAGGAUGGUGGAAUUCCCAGUGUAGAGGUGAAAUUCGUAGAUAUUGGGAAGAACACCGAUGGCGAAGGCAGCCAUCUGGACCGACACUGACGCUGAGGCGCGAAAGCGUGGGGAGCAA
rnacentral:rRNA from 1 species